rnacentral:rRNA from 1 species
UACGGAAGGGGCUAGCGUUGUUCGGAAUUACUGGGCGUAAAGGGUGCGUAGGUGGUUGAUUAAGUUAUCUGUGAAAUUCCUGGGCUUAACCUGGGACGGUCAGAUAAUACUGGUUGACUCGAGUAUGGGAGAGGGUAGUGGAAUUUCCGGUGUAGCGGUGAAAUGCGUAGAGAUCGGAAGGAACACCAGUGGCGAAGGCGGCUACCUGGCCUAAUACUGACACUGAGGCACGAAAGCGUGGGGAGCAAACAGG